UACGAAGGGGGCAAGCGUUGUUCGGAAUUACUGGGCGUAAAGGGCGCGUAGGCGGCUUAUCAAGUCAGGCGUGAAAUUCCCGGGCUCAACCUGGGGGCUGCGCUUGAUACUGAUGAGCUUGAAUGCGGGAGAGGAUAGUGGAAUUCCCAGUGUAGAGGUGAAAUUCGUAGAUAUUGGGAAGAACACCGGUGGCGAAGGCGGCUCUCUGGGACGGUACUGACGCUGAGACGCGAAAGCGUGGGGAGCGAACAGG
rnacentral:rRNA from 1 species